GACGAACGCUGGCGGCGUGCUUAACACAUGCAAGUCGAACGGUAAGGCUCCAGCUUGCUGGGGUACACGAGUGGCGAACGGGUGAGUAACACGUGGGUGACCUGCCCUGCACUUCGGGAUAAGCCUGGGAAACUGGGUCUAAUACCGGAUAGGACCGCACCGUGAGGGUGUGGUGGAAAGUUUUUUCGGUGUGGGAUGGGCCCGCGGCCUAUCAGCUUGUUGGUGGGGUAAUGGCCUACCAAGGCGGCGACGGGUAGCCGGCCUGAGAGGGUGGACGGCCACAUUGGGGCUGAGACACGGCCCAGACUCCUACGGGAGGCAGCAGUGGGGAAUAUUGCACAAUGGGCGGAAGCCUGAUGCAGCGACGCCGCGUGGGGGAUGACGGCCUUCGGGUUGUAAACUCCUUUCACCAUCGACGAAGGGUUUCUGACGGUAGAUGGAGAAGAAGCACCGGCUAACUACGUG
rnacentral:rRNA from 1 species